CCUACCGAUUGAAUGACUCGGUGAAAAAUUGGGACUGUGAACUCGUUUGCUUUAUUGCGAAUGAGUUUGUGGGAACUUUUUUUAACCUCGCCAUUUAGAGGAAGGUGAAGUCGUAACAAGGUU
rnacentral:rRNA from 1 species